AAGUCGAACGGUAGCAGGGUCUAGUUUACUAGAUUGCUGACGAGUGGCGAACGGGUGAGUAACGCGUAGGAAUAUACCUUAAAGAGGGGGACAACCUGGGGAAACUCAGGCUAAUACCGCAUAAUAUCUUAGGAUUAAAGUUUGGGACCUUCGGGCCAAGCGCUUUAAGAAUAGCCUGCGUACGAUUAGCUAGUUGGCGGGGUAAGAGCCCACCAAGGCGAUGAUCGUUAGCUGGUCUGAGAGGAUGGUCAGCCACACUGGGACUGAGACACGGCCCAGACUCC
rnacentral:rRNA from 1 species